rnacentral:rRNA from 2 species
GUUGGGUAACACUAACUGGAGGACCGAACCGACUAAUGUUGAAAAAUUAGCGGAUGACCUGUGGCUGGGGGUGAAAGGCCAAUCAAACCGGGAGAUAGCUGGUUCUCCCCGAAAGCUAUUUAGGUAGCGCCUCGUGAAUUCAUCUCCGGGGGUAGAGCACUGUUUCGGCUAGGGGGCCAUCCCGGCUUACCAACCCGAUGCAAACUGCGAAUACCGGAGAAUGUUAUCACGGGAGACACACGGCGGGUGCUAACGUCCGUCGUGAAGAGGGAAACAACCCAGACCGCCAGCUAAGGUCCCAAAGUCAUGGUUAAGUGGGAAACGAUGUGGGAAGGCCCAGACAGCCAGGAUGUUGGCUUAGAAGCAGCCAUCAUUUAAAGAAAGCGUAAUAGCUCACUGGUCGAGUCGGCCUGCGCGGAAGAUGUAACGGGGCUAAACCAUGCACCGAAGCUGCGGCAGCGACACUGUGUGUUGUUGGGUAGGGGAGCGUUCUGUAAGCCUGUGAAGGUGUGUCGUGAGGCAUGCUGGAGGUAUCAGAAGUGCGAAUGCUGACAUAAGUAACGAUAAAGCGGGUGAAAAGCCCGCUCGCCGGAAGACCAAGGGUUCCUGUCCAACGUUAAUCGGGGCAGGGUGAGUCGACCCCUAAGGCGAGGCCGAAAGGCGUAGUCGAUGGGAAACGGGUUAAUAUUCCCGUACUUGGUGUUACUGCGAAGGGGGGACGGAGAAGGCUAUGUUGGCCGGGCGACGGUU